GUCUAUUUAGGCUGUCCCACAAUGAAUGCUAUGGGAAAACCAUUUCAUCCACAAGCUGAGGCUUGGUUUUGUGUGCCCUGCAGUUCAAUCCUGACACUGGAGAGAUCGUUGCCUUUGCCAACAAAUAGUUUAAAGGACUCCCUAUUUUUCAAGGCCUUAUUUCAAAGAGGCAGUCCUGUUCAUAACUACUUGUGCAUGCACAUAAAACCCACAAAGCCAGGAAGGCUCCCCAGACUCUACAUGUGAAAUCCUACAGUGUAGUCAACUCAUAAGGCUUCCAGUAUGAUUUCAAAGGUCUUUGAAGAAAACCAGAAGAGCUUCAGAAACACUUCAGUAAUUUGCAGGCUCAUAUGAGCAGACGUGAGCCACUUAGCUUAUAAAAUAGAACUUCUCAG
rnacentral:lncRNA from 1 species